AAGUUUUGCCAUUGAGAUUGAAAACAUACCUUCAGUAUCAUUUUAAAUAAAUAAUCUCAAGCUUAAAAUUCCAAUAGACGUGCGCACCAAACCAAUGUCAUAUCGGCAGGCAUCUCUCUGUUACAUAUUGCUUGACCCUUUUGCUUGUGUAAGUUUGCAACAUCAUUAAUUCAUUUUAAAUCGCUUUUAGCUUUUAACAAUACCAAUACAAACGUGCUUGUUUAACCAGACAGUUCUGAUAUCGUUGAAAUUUGAUAUAGUAACAAGUUGUUGAUUUUACAUUCCCUCAAUAACCUAUGAUCUUUAGUAAAAUGAGAGAAUAAGCAGCUGCACUGCCUCAUACACUGAUCUCAUUGGCAUGACCUGCGUUUUGGGGGAGGCCAAGUAAAUCUCUAUCUCUUCAGCUCCAAGUGUUUCUCAUUGAUCCAUUUCAGGUAACUUUCCACACUGUCUAGCCCACAUAGCUCUUUCGCGUAACCAGUUUUCUCUAUUGUUCCCGAAACCCAAGAAAACCGUGUUAAAAGUGUUUGUUGGCCAGACAAACCCGAACAUAAAAAUUUAAAACACGAGAAACCAUAUUGCAAAAGAACCAAGUGAUUUAUACUAACAUUUCUAAUCAUCACUUAAAAGUGAUUAAUUCAUGUUACAAGCUGAAAAAUAAAGGAAGCAAAUUUUUAAAAAUCAUAAAACAAAAAUAAACAACAAUAGACUAAAGUUUAGAAUAAGAAAAAAUUGAAAAAGAUGAGAAGUUGCCGAAAAUAGGAGGUGCAGAGCUUCCCCUUCUUCCUCCAACUUCUCUCCCAUGGAAAAAUGGCUUCCUCUUCUCCAAAACCAACCUCUUUUACAUCUAUACGGCUAUCUUAAACUCCUCAACCUUUAAAAUGAAAAUCAGAUGAAAUAGGUCAGUGGGAUUCCAUUGGAGUCUUCUUAUUGGUCAGCUUAGCAGAAAAACUGAGGUAAAAUGGAAAGCUAGCUCAAUUAACGAUUUAUGAAAAUUUCUCCUCUGUGCUGAUUCCAUUUUCUCCUUUGAAUUGAUUUCAAAUGCUCAUAUUUUACUCCAACAAAAGCUUUUGCUAAUUAAAUGCUCUAUCAAUGCCGUGUUGCAGAAAACGUGCCUACAUCAGAACUUUAAUUACCAAAAUGCUCAAACGAGAACUACGAGCAUUUUACUGAUGUUGCUUGAUAAAACAGAUAAUUUGUGACAAGAAAUAAUCAUUCGUGAAUCACUCACAAUUAUUAAAUCUAGCACUUCACUCUUAUUUUAAGAGUUUUCCUUUUAAAAGGAUACACGUCUCUUUGUUAAUAAAGAUAUAAAUAAUGAGACAAAAGCUUUGUUAAUAAAGAUAUAAAUAAUGAGACAAAAGCUCAUCCAUCAUCAUCAAAAGUAUAAAAUGGAUCCAGAGACGCACCUCAUUGUGCCAUCAUCAUAUCCACCGCCUACCAGAAGCAUAACUAAGCCAUCAAAGGCAAAUACAAAAGGUGAGAUAGUAGUUAUCAAUACUCAAAUGAUGCUUUAUUUUAAGAGUUAUAAGUACUCAAAUGAAGCUUUUUUUGGUUGAAAGACAUCACAAUAUGUUCCAGGUACUUUUUGUUUUUUUCCUCUAAGAGCAGCCUAGGGGCCAAGUGCAGAGAGAACCCCUCCAUUAAUGAGUCAAAGCUCUAUCUAAAAAGUCCCUUGGUGAAACAUCAACAACCUUUUGGCUCAAGAGGAUGUAAGGAAUGCAAAUGCUACCAUUGUCCAGUCUUUUCUUUAAUGAAGUGUCGAUCAAUCUCCACAUGUCUAAUUCGUCUAAUUCUAUCAUGUUGAACUGGAUUGUUGGUGAUUCUGAUAGCUGCCUUAUUACCACAAAAUAAUUUCAUUGCCACCUUAAUUAAAUUUUAUUUAUAUUAAUAUCUCCAUCCAUUCACUUUUGAGUGGCAAUAACUA